rnacentral:lncRNA from 1 species
UUGGGAAAUAUCAGGAAGGGAGACAGAACAUAAAGACUCCUAACUCAGGGAAACGAACUAGGGGUGGUGGAAGGGGAGGAGGGCGGGUGUUGGAGGGGAAUGGGUGACGGGCACUGAGGUGGACACUUGACGGGAUGAGCACUGGGUGUUUUUCUGUAUGUUGGUAAAUUGAACACCAAUAAAAAUUAAUUUAAAAAAAAAAGAAUGAGAUAAUUCAAUAUCAAUUCUAUUUUUUUAUUAAUGUAGUGUUGAAGACACUACAUAAAAAAUGAAUGUAAAUAAAAAUGUUACCUUGAAUAAAAGAAAGAAAGAAAGAAAGAAAGAAAGAAAGAAAGAAAGAAAGAAAGAAAAGAAAAUGGAACCAGUGACUCGGACCUCAGGAAGGUGCUGGGGACUAAAGCAGGGAGAUGAAGGUGUCUGAAGUAUUGGACUGUGGGGCGCUUGGAGGCUGCCAGGAACAGGGGAAGGGAUGUAGAGGAGGAAAAGGCAGCCUGACCUCUCCAGCCUGACCUGGAGAAGUCCCCGCCCAGACUGGAGGCCACCUCCACCCCCUCCGCCCCUGACCCAUCCAGCAACCAGAUGAACCCUGGAGUGGCACGUGGGGGCCAGGACGCCAGGUGGGGGGCAUUUCCUGUCUCUCUGUCCCCAGGUCUCCAUGUCCACUCAGGCCAGCGGCCCUGCCUGGCAGGACUGGAGGUGGCCCCGCCUAAAGGAUGUGAGGGUCACCGAGCAGGCCAGGGAGACAGGGACACGCGGGACCAACCUUUCAGCGACCCCUUGGCGGUGCGCGUGCCCGCUGCGAGGUGAGGUCCCGUGCACGCGCUUUCUGCUGGUCCGUGUGCGCCUGCGCAGGAUCCACCGGCCUCCUACCCCUCCUGCCGUUGGUCGGACAACAGCGCCCAACCAGAGUGCUCUGCGUCAAACCCUCCAAAAGCUUGGCCCCAUUGUGAAAAUAAGUCAGCCCUGCACAUGGAUGAGGACAGAGGGUGUGGAUAGUCAGUGCUGCCACCCUGGGAGCUGCCGGAGCCCGGGAAGUGACCUUUCCGGGGACAUCUGUCCCUGUGCACCUCCCAAUGAAGCCAUCCUCCUGGGGUUCCUGCACCUGUUGCCGGAAAAGGUGAGCAGGACCCUUGACCCCACAGCAGCUCCCCACCCACCUCCUGGCCUGUGA